AGGUUAAGAGUAGAUUGAAGCUAAAACCAAGUUGUUAUAUGCUACCGUGGUGGGUGCGAAGAUUGACAAAUGGAGAGUCAUAAAAGGCCAAAAUUAAAUUUUAAGCAUUUAUUCGAAAAACUCGACUGUAUUGGCAAUGUACACGAUGCUGUAUAGCUGAGUAGCAUCAUUGGUUUGGGGGAAAUUAUGAACAAGCACCAAGAGCUGGCUAUUAUAUUAUUCCUCAUUUAACCUGUAUCAUAAUUAUAAGAUUUAUUGAGUAAGAAGAUAGUAUAUGGACACCACCUUUGUCCUAUAUUCUCUCGGUAAAAAAUAUCCUCUUAUCCAGUUUAAUAUUUAUAUUGGAUUUUAGUAACGCAAAGGGAUAUUGCCCUAAAGGGUUCAUAGUUAUAUGGAAUAUAACAUAAUAUUACAAUUUAAAUGUAAGA